rnacentral:lncRNA from 1 species
UGGCCCUCCAGAGCCUGCUGCAGCUCCUUGUGCUGGCUACGGCGGCGCUCCUCCUCUUCCUGCAGCAGCCGCUCGGCCUGCCGCUGAGCCUCCUGCAGCAGCUCCAGUUCUUGCAGCUUCCUCUCCUUCUCCUCCUGCAGCUGCUGCAGUCGCAGCAGCUCCUCCUCCUUGGCUGCCCGGCGUCGCUCGCGCUGUUCCCGCUGCUCCCGCCGCUUCUGUUUCAGGUCCUUGUGCAGCGACGUCUUCCCCUCCGCCUGCAGCCGGAUCGCAGUCUGGAUGGCUAAGGGCAGAGCCGGACGGAGUCAGCCCUGGUCUAGUCACCACCGCAAAGGGGCCCCAAAGGUCACUCCGGUGAACAGGCCCAGUUAGACCCAGGCCGGCACUCACCGGCCGUCCACUCCUGGCGCUGGCGGGUGUCUGAGGCGCUCAUCUCAUAGGUGCGGCUGGCAGUCUUCACACAAAACAUGCAGCGCUUUCCUUCGCGGUCCGGAAGCACCUACAGGAUGGCCCAGGCCAAGUGACUUCGCUGACAUAGGAGCCACAUCUGCCCCAGUAGUACCCCAGCUCCAGCUUCCUCCUCUUUCUCUUGGCUGACCAUCUUCUCUGGGACCGUUCCUACCCUGCCAGGAGUAUGCAUGGUCUGGGGUGGAUCGUUAGUUACGGGGUGCGUGCGAGCCACUUUAUUCUUGGUAUCUCUCCACAAGGUUUAGUACAUAGUACAUGCUUGAACAUGUGCCUGGAGCCUCACUCAGCACCUACAACUGCUGAUUUCCACCUGGUCUCUUAAAUGGCACUCGUUCUUCAAGGGUUUGGAGAUACUGAUAAUGCAGGGUGUGUUUGACAUCCUUGCUCUUCUGCCCUAGUGUUCUCUUGUGUUCUCUCUCUCUCUCUCUCUCUCUCUCUCUCUCUCUCUCUCUCUGAGGCAGGGUUUCUUUGUGUAGCUCUGACUGUCCUAGACUAGCUCUAUAGACCAGGCUGGCUUCAAACUCUCCCUCUGCCUCCCAAGUGCUGGGAUUAAAGGCGUGUACCACAACGUGCCCAGCUCUGCACUAGUGUUUUCCAUA